GGGGAGGGGCACGACCCCUGACUCCGAGCCCCCGGGGCAGGGAGGACGCAGAAGCGAAAGUUGUACAUGUGGGUGCACGUGUAAUUAAAUACGAAUAUAUAUACACACACACCCAAGAUACGUGUGUGUCUAUAUAUAUAUCUAUAUAUAUAUAUAGAUAUAGACACACACACACUAGGAAAUGCGUGUGUACACAUGGUAUCCGAUGCGUGACCUCCCGUCGCUUGGCCCCAAUCCCGUCCUCGUCUCGUGACAAGAAAGGCCCCCCUCGCGGUCUGUGGGUACAACCCUCCUGCCCAACCUCAGCCCCACUGCAUUGCCCCUCGGGGCUCGCUGAGCACAAAUAUAAACGACCCUCGUCUCUAAUUUUUAAUGGGCCCGAGACCGUCCCCCUCUUCCUGUCCCAGCAGCCACCUCCUCACCUCACCCCCGGCGCAGCCUCUGGGUGGAAACCAAGCGUCUGAAAUGGCAAUCGGGGACCGCCGUUCGGGGGCCGUGCAAGACGGCUGCAGUUUGCGAGCUGCCUCUUCAGACAAUUACAUCGUGUCCAGUCACGGUCUCGAUGGGUUUAAGUGAAUCCCAAGAUGGCCAGAAUUACUCUGUGCAUAGACAGGGAUUGGAAAGCAUAGUAAUGCAAAUUUAAAAUGUCUCUAUGUGACAAAUUUGUUUGAAAAGCUAUCCAGGAACACAGAAGACAAAUAUGUAUAUAUUCUAAAGAAUGUUUUGGGGUUUUUUUGGUAUUAAAAAUCCAACAGUAUUUUGUCCAAGCCUGUUUCUCUCUACCCCUCAGUGUCACAACUAUCCAGAUUUCUCUAAGGGAACUAGAUCCUCUAGUUUUCAGUAAAAUAAAUGAACUUUUAUCUUAA